rnacentral:misc_RNA from 1 species
GAAAUGCGAUAAGUAAUGUGAAUUGCAGAAUUCAGUGAAUCAUCGAAUCUUUGAACGCACAUUGCGCCCCCUGGUAUUCCGGGGGGCAUGCCUGUUCGAGCGUCAUUUCACCACUCAAGCCUCGCUUGGUAUUGGGCGACGCGGUCCGCCGCGCGCCUCAAAUCGACCGGCUGGGUCUUCUGUCCCCUCAGCGUUGUGGAAACUAUUCGCUAAAGGGUGCCACGGGAGGCCACGCCGCAAAACAAACCCAUUUAUAAGGUUGACCUCGGAUCAGGUAGGGAUACCCGCUGAACUUAAGC